AACGCACAUUGCGCCCUUGGGUCAUUCCUAGGGGCAUGCCUGUUCGAGCGUCAUAAACAAACCUCAAGCCUAUGGCUUGGUGUUGGCCCUGCCCACUAUCACCAUCUUGUUGGCAGGGCCUAAAUCCAGCUGGCAGUGGGCUUGGCCCCAAGCGUAGCAGAGAUUAUCUGCGUUGUGGGCGUCAAGCACAUAGUCAUUAACCCACUUUCCCUGAAUUGACCUCGGAUCAGGUAGGAUUACCCGCUGAACUUAA
rnacentral:misc_RNA from 1 species